ACAUAAACGAGCUCAGGGUCAUAGCCCCUUCCUCCCUUUGCUGAGAACUGCUGAUCAAGAGAAUUUGUGGCUGCAAUUACUGCAAAGAAAUAUAUCUUCAAGGUACUUCCCUAGCAAACUUGUGGUCUGUUCACACAUACAAUAUCCACAAAGAAUUCCCUGGUGAUCCAAAAGAACUAGACAGAAGUAUUCAGGGAGGGGAACUUUUCUUUCCAAUUGUUCUUAACCCAUUUUGCCACCAGCUCUGAGCAAGGCACAGUGGGAAACUACACUGCCCCAGAAACAAGUGGAGAACCAGAUGCCAACUCAAAGGGGUUCCAGCCCUUGCUCUUGGUUUGGGGAAGAGGGAAAGUGGUCUUCCCUACACCUAUACUACCGAUACAAAAUUAUUUGUCCUGGGUUCCAGCUCAUCGGUGGCUGGUAUAUUGGAGCUGGGAGGAGUGGAAUCAAGGCUCUUCCAUUUCUCCACCCACCCAUCUAUGCAGGAGGGGGAGUAGCAUCCCUGAGAAAGCUACUUUUCUCUGCCAUGAUGCAGGGGAGCAAGAGAAUGCCUAAUGUCUGCUUACUCCCUUGUGUGGGCAUGCAGGAUGUGUCAUACCUGGCCCUAAACAGGAGUAACCUAAUGAAGUCAGUUAAGUUACCACAGUGUAAAAUUUUUAUAGGUGAACACAGAAUCAGGCUCACUGUUUUGUACUUCCUCCUAGUAUUUUUGUAUAUACUCAUUGCAGCAUAUGAACUUUAUUUCUGAAAAUCUCUUUUUAUGUUAAGUAAAAUCACUCAUGAAGAGUCCCAGGUCCUCAGUGGUAUAAACAGGCAUAUCUUUAUUACUUCACUACAGCAGCCGAGGAUCUCACCCAUAUCCCUAAUACUGUGGGGGAAAAUAUCUUCAAUUGAUAUAAUCAGUGUUUUUUAAUUUAAGGCAAAAUAACUUUAAAAAUCAAGCCAGUAUAUAGGAGAGAUUAGGGCUAGAAGACGCUUCAUAGAUGAUUAAAACAAUCCCCCUACAUCUCACUUAAAUUUUCCCUUGCUUUAUUACUUUGCAUGUGUUUAUCCAAUCCUUUAUUGACACUUCAGUUGGUGUAAACAGGAGAUUCUCUAUACACCAACUGAGGAUCUUGCCUUUCU